GACGAACGCUGGCGGCGUGCUUAACACAUGCAAGUCGAGCGGUAAGGCCCUUUCGGGGGUACACGAGCGGCGAACGGGUGAGUAACACGUGGGUGACCUGCCCUCAGCUCUGGGAUAAGCCUGGGAAACCGGGUCUAAUACCGGAUAUGACUCCAUGACGCAUGUUGUGGGGUGGAAAGCCUUGUGCGGCUGAGGAUGGGCCCGCGGCCUAUCAGCUUGUUGGUGGGGUGAUGGCCUACCAAGGCGACGACGGGUAGCCGGCCUGAGAGGGCGACCGGCCACACUGGGACUGAGACACGGCCCAGACUCCUACGGGAGGCAGGCAGUGGGGAAUCUUGCGCAAUGGGCGAAAGCCUGACGCAGCGACGCCGCGUGA
rnacentral:rRNA from 1 species